rnacentral:snRNA from 1 species
GCAAAAGACAGACUACGACACGAC